rnacentral:rRNA from 1 species
CAAAAACAUUUCUUAAUGAAAUUAUAUUAAGUACAGCCUGCUCCAUGUAAAAUAAAUAGCCGCAGAAUAUUCACUGUGCUAAGGUAGCAUAAUCAUUAGCCUCCUAAUUUGAGACUAGAAUGAAAGGCUAAACAAUUAAAUAACUUUUUUUAAUAAUAAUUUCAACUUAUAAUAAGUAUAAAAAUAUACUUAUUAAUAUAAAAGACGACAAGACCCUAUCGAACUUAACUGAAGUUAAGCUGGGGAAGCCUAUCAAAAAUAAUUUUAAUAUAAAUAAUUUAUUGCCCACCCAAUCCAAUUGAAUUAAUAUCAAGUUACCGUAGGGAUAACAGCGUAAUAUUUCUCAAAAGCUCCUAUUAAAAGAAAAGUUUACGACCUCGAUGUUGAAUUAAUUUUACUUAUUAACGCAAUAGUUAAAAAAGUAGGUCUGUUCGACCAUUAAAAAAUUACAUGAUCUGAGUCAAAACCGG